UCAGUACCAAGAAUGCAUGUCAAAACAGUCCAACAUGCCACACCUCAAUACAUUACACCCAAGUAACACCGGCACCAGACUAUGUACACUUACUUCUUUCAGACCUCCAUGCAAGAUGCCUACGGCUACACUGCAACAUAAACUCUUCAAGCUGACCACAGCUACUGCAAAAAACAAUCAGCAACAUGUAGCCUAACCCAAUCAGAAAGGGAACUUAUCGGCACCCAAGUAUUCAAAACAACUGGAAAGUCGAACCAUCGACCUCGAGUGACGCAUGUGCACCUUCAACGCUGCGUCGGAGGACAUUGUUCAUGGAAAAGGUACGAGACACCAUCUCCCUCGAACAGCCAUCCAAGCAACAAAAGGAAGAGCUACAUCACCUCAAAACUAAGGACAAACUGGAGGACAUCUUCCAGGAAUUUGGAAAAAUACAUAUUCCGGUAGUGGAUGUUAUGGAACUGAAGAGCUUCUUCAACUUGAGUUGGACAAAGCUCCGAAAGUUAAAACAAUGGCUAAGAGAGAGAGACAUGUGACCACAGCACGCGGAAAGGGGGUAAAGAGCCUACAACAAACCAUCAUUCAGGGGAAUUUGAUUAGGCAUAUGAGAUCAAGAAAUCCCAAAUGGUGGUCAUGGACGAGUUAAAAGAUAAGGUGUUCUCAACUCUAGACGAAUAUGCAGAUCUGAACCAGCUAACGUGGCACAAUGGCAAAAUCCCUGAAGACCAGAUCUGGGUCAAAAUUGGCAGAGAUAAAGGGGGCACCUCCUUUAAGCUAAUGGUGCAACUGGCAAAUGUUGAGCGGCCAAAUAGCCUCCUGAAUACCCACUCCAUCCGCGUCUUCGAAGCCAAAGACUCCUGCUUCAAUCUGACUGUCCCCCUGAAGGGGAUGGAGAAGCAGAUCUAUGACCUUUCAUCAGAGUCAUGACCUUUCAUCAGAGUCGUGGAGGGGAAAGCAGAUUGCGACAUUCUUUAUUGGAGACUAUGAGUGCCUCACAAGGAUCUACAGACUGUCAGGCCUUAAUGGCAGACACUGUUGUCUAUACUGCACCACCACCAAACAACAAAUGGCUCUCCCUCCAGAAGGCCAACCUGUUCAGAAGAGGUCACUCCAGACAAUGAAGGCAUCCUUGGAGACGCAAGACCAGUAACCAAGGAAUGCAACAAUGUCAUAAGGCCCCCCCAAGUUUGACAUUCCUUUGGACAGGGUGUGCUCCCCUGGACUCCAUUUUUCCCUUGGAAUUUUCCUGAAGCAUUUGGUAGCUAUGGAGAAAGAAUGUCACCAUCUUGACCUCAAAAUGGCCGAAAAGCUGGGCAAGCUGAGGCAGAUGGAGGUUGCACUGGAGCCAUCACCACCAGGCAGCGCUUCAAUGAGGCAGUAGAGGUUGCACUGGAGCCAUCACUAUGAGACAGCGCUUCAAUGAGGCAGUAGAGGUUGCACUGGAGCCAUCACCACCAGGCAGCGCUUCAAUGAGGCAGUAGAGGUUGCACUGGAGCCAUCACCACCAGGCAGCCCUUCAAUGAGGCAGUAGAGGUUGCACUGGAGCCAUCACCACCAGGCAGCGCUUCAAUGAGGCAGUAGAGGUUGCACUGGAGCCAUCACCACCAGGCAGCCCUUCAAUGAGGCAGUAGAGGUUGCACUGGAGCCAUCACCACCAGGCAGUGCUUCAAUGAGGCAGUAGAGCAUGCCCAUCUGGAGAGCAAAGAAGAGAAUCUUGAAAGUGAGAUAGCAGACCUCAAGGAGCAGUACAGCAUUAUUAGCCUGCUCUACAGUGAUGCUGAGCCUCCAGCAAUACUCCUCGACACAGCUGCGGAGAAAGAAAGGGAGAGAACACAAGUGGAGCCAACACUCUUCUCUUGCAGUAUCAGGGAGAACAUAGCCUAUGGAGCCAUCGAUCCUGAUAAUGUUACUAUGACGAUGAUAGAAGAGGCAGCUAGGACGGCCAACGCUCAUUACUUCAUCAAGUCCUUCCCGAAUGAGUAUGACACGGUUGUAGGAGAGAGGGGCCUCAUGCUCUCAGGUAUGUCAAGUUAUAUAUUGUUGUAUUUGCUUUCUCUUUUCAUCUCCAAUCAAUUCUUUUUCUCAAGUCCAUAUUUUUAUGCCUCCGCCACCGAAGGUGGUGCC